GAUGAACGCUGGCGGCGUGCUUAACACAUGCAAGUCGAACGGAAAGGCCAGUGCUUGCACUGGUGCUCGAGUGGCGAACGGGUGAGUAACACGUGGGUGAUCUGCCCUUCACUUUGGGAUAAGCCUGGGAAACUGGGUCUAAUACCAGAUAGGACCAUGCUUUGGAUGGUGUGGUGGAAAGUUUUUUCGGUGUGGGAUGAGCUUGCGGCCUAUCAGCUUGUUGGUGGGUUAAUGGCCUACCAAGGCGUCGACGGGUAGCCGGCCUGAGAGGGUGUACGGCCACAUUGGGACUGAGAGACGGCACAGAUUCCUACGGGAGGCAGAAGUGGGGAAUAUUGCACAAUGGGCGCAAGCCUGAUGCAGCGACGCCGCGUGGGGGAUGACGGUCUUCGGGUUGUAAACUCCUUUCGCAACUGACGAAGCUUUUUGUGACGGUAGGUUGAGAAGAAGCACCGGCUAACUACGUG
rnacentral:rRNA from 1 species